AUGAAGUCGGGGGCGGGGGGGGUGACAUCUAAUGAGGAAGGCAGAGUGCUCUAGUUGGAGAAAGGGAGAUUUGGGUUAUCACCCCUAAAGAUAGUUCCCAAACUGACAUGUCGCCCCUCCUAAACUCCCCAUGUUCAAUUUUGGCAGAUCACGUGGCACGGGAGGAUAUUUCCACCAUAUGUUUCCCCCGGACCUCCCAUUCAGUGGUACAUUCUGUUCCUCCACACCUGCCAUCAUUACCCAGUUUCUGUAUGACCUACCUAAAAUCCCUCCAUGCUAACUGGGAUAGACGGAGGGCUAUAUGAAGACGUCAACUGACCAGGCACAGUGGCUCACGCUUGUAAUCCCAGCACUUUGGGAGACCAAGGUCCUUCAUGCUGGGAAUUCUCAAUAAUGGUCAAGCUGAAUUUCAGAUAUAAACUGUGAAGCCAACAUGGGGUGUCUGUGAUUUAGGCCAGUGCUAUGUUAAAAGCACGGCCUGUAGACCAGCAUCAUCAUCAUCAUGUGGAAGCAUAUUAGAGAUCCAGAUUCUUCGGUCCCAUCCCAGACCUACUGAAUCGGAACCUGUGGGAGUGGGGUCCAGCAGUCUGUGUUUUACCAGCUCUCCAGAUGAUUCUCAAGCACUCCAUACUUUGAGAAGGCCCACUUCAGACUGUGGAUAAAAGAAAAAUAAUAACAUAGAAAGACAUUUGGUUUACUAAGGCUUAACUCUAAAAACUACAUACUAAAAUGAAGCAUAUUUCAUGUGUCAUUUAGGUGUUUAGAUAAUAGCCCAGAGUUUGAUAGGAGUUGAAUAAACGGUAAUCAAUGAAA